ACAAACAUUCUUCAAAUAAAUGAAAACAAACAUCAGGGAGGGGCAUCUGAGUGGCUCAGUUGGUUAAACUUCCAGCUCUUGGUUUUGGCUCAGGUCAUGAUCUCAGUUUGUGAGUUCGGGCCCUAAGACAGGCUCUGUGCUGACAGUGCAGAGCCUGCUUGGAAUUUUCUCUCUCUCCUCUUCCUCUCUCUCUCUUUCUCUCUCUCUCAAAAUAAAUAAGUAAAAAGUUUUUAAAAAUUAUUUUUAAAAAUCUCAGAAAAAGAAAUAGAAGACACAAAGAAAAUAGAAAUGUUAGAACUGAAGAAAAAAAUUACUGUGCUGGGUUGAAUCGUGUUCUCCAAAAUACCCAAUAUUACAGAAUGUGACCUUAUUUGGAAAUAGAGUCUCUGCAGAAAUAAUUAGUUAAAAUGAGGUCAAACUGGAGUAGUGUGGGCACUAAAUCCAAUAACUGGUAUCCAUUAUAAGACAAUGUGAAAACACAGAAAGAUACCCAGGGGAGACCACCAUGUGAAGAUGGACGCAAAUACUGGGAUGAUGGGUCGAUAAGCCAAGGAGCACCCAGGAUGCCUGGUGAUCACCAGGAGCCAGGAGAGAGGCAUGGGACAGGUUCUCCCUUGGAGCCUCCAGAAGGAACCACCACCUUGGGUUUUGGACUCUUGGCCUCCAGUACUGUGUGAAAAUAAACUUGUUGUUUUAAGCCAUCAAGUUUGUGGUCAUUUGUUACAGCAGGCAGGCCUGGGAAACUAAUACAGAAACCAAAAUGUAAAAUAAAACCACCUCACUGGGUAGGCUCAAUAGAAGGAUGGAGAUAAUGUUUGAAAGGACAGGUGCAUUUGAAGAUAGAACAGUAGAAAUGAUCCAAUCUGAAAGAGAGAGAAAAUUAUAUUUAAAAAGGAUAAAGAGCAAGAACAGAGCUUCAGAAACCUGUGAGACAGUAACAAAAGAUUUAACAUUUGUGUUACGGGAGUCCCAGGUGGAGAGGAAAAGGAAGUGAAGCUGAAAAAACAUUCCAGAAAAGAAUGGCUGAAAGUUUCCCAAGUUCGACAAAGACCUGAACCUACAGAUUCAAGAAGCCGACUGAAUCUCCAGCAUAAGCCCAAAUAAAUCCAUGAUAACACACACCAUAAUCAAACUUCUGAAAACUCAAGUCAAUGAAAGAAUCGUGAAGGCAGUCAGAGAGAAAUGACACCUUUCCUGUGGGGGAACAACAGUUCAGUUGCAGCAGAUUUGAGCUGCCAGAAAGAAGUGGGACAGCAUUCAAGGAGCAAAGGAAGAUACGAAAGAAGACCAUUUAGGAAUGAAGAUGAAAUUAAGACAUUCUCAAAUAAAAGAAACACUAAGAGUAUCUGUUGUCUGAAGACCUACCCUAAAAGAAUGGCCGACACAGUUGGUAGAGUGUGUGACUGGAUCUUGGGGUUGUGAGUUCGAGCCCCACGCUGGGUGUAGAGAUUACUUUCAAAAAAUGGCUGAAGGAAGUUCUUCAAACAUAAAGGAAAUGGUAAAAGAAGGAAACUUAAAACAUCAAGAAUGAAGAAAGAUAAAUGAAAAGAAUGGAAAUACAGGUAAAUGUAAUAGACUAUCCUUCCCCACUGGUGUUUUCUAAAUUAUAAUCAAUGGCCACAGUAUAAAUUAUAACAUAUAACAUUGUCUGAUGUGGUUCUCAGUGUAUGUAGAGGAAAUAUGUAAGACAUUAUAAAAUGGAAAGUAAAGAUCUAAACAGAAGGCUUCUGUACCUCACUUGGAAGUGGCAAAAUGUCGAUACUGUGACUCAUGUAGACUGUGAUAAAUUAUGAAUGUAUAAUGAAACCCCAGAGCAGUCACUAAAAACUCUGCACAAAGAGAUACACUUGAAAACACCAUAGAUAAAUAAAAAAUGGAAUCCUAAAAGAUGUUCAAGUAACACAAGAAGGGUGGAAAAACAGAACAGAGGAAUGAAAAAUAGAGGGAACCAACAGAAAAUAAAAUGGCAAAUGGAAACACUAAGACAUAAAUAAUUACAUCAACUGGAAAUGGCCUAAAUAAGUCAUUUAAAAGUGAGAGAUCUGAAAAACAGAAUACAAAAAUGUGACCCAGCUAUAAGCCAUCAGCAAGAAAUUCACUUCAAAUAUAAUGACAUAGGUAGGUUGAAAGUAAAAGGAUGUAAAAGAAAUAUGCCAUACAAACAUUAAUCAAAAGACAGCAGAGCCUGCCAUCUUAAUAUUAGGUAAUAGCAGAUAAAAGAAAAUCACCCGGAAAAGAAGUUACAUUACAUAAUGAUAGCAGGGUCAAACCAGGAGGAAGACAAAGUAAUCCUAAACAUAUAGGCACUAAACUGAUAAAACCCAAAGGAGAAACAGGCAAAUACACUAUCAGAGUUGGAGACUUCCACACAUCUCUGAACAACUGAUAGAAAUACUAGGCAGAAAAACAACAGGAUCUGUAAGAACUUAACAAAACCAUCAGCCAAAAGGAUCUAACUGACAUUUAGAGACUACUCCAUCCAACAACAGCAAGAUACACAUUCUUUUCAAGUGCCCAUGGAAUAUCCGCCCCAAUAGACAAUACCCUAAGUAAAAAAUCAAAACACCAAACCACACACAACCUCAAGAGAUUUAAAAGAUUGAAAGAGAUUUAAAAUUAUACAGUGAGUAUUCCCUUGACCACAGUGGAAUCAAAUAGGUCCAAGUUAGCAACAGAAAGGUGACAGGAAAAAUCUCCAAACACAUGAAAAGUAAACAACAUACUUCUAAAUAAUCUAUGGGUCAAAGUGAAAAUCUCAACGAAAUUUUUAAAAAUUUUGCUGAAUGAAAGUACAAAGUAUCAAAAUUUGUGGGGCACAGCUAACUGGAUGCUGAAAGGAAAAUUUACGGCACUAAAUGUUUACUUUAAAAGGAAGAAAGGCCUCCAACCAACAAUCUAAGCUCCUGCCUCAAACUAGAAUCAGAAGAGCAAAAUAAACCCCAAAGAACUGAAAAUAGAAAAACAAUGCAGAAAACCAAGGAAACAAAGAGCUGCUUCUUUGGAAAGAUCUGUAAAGUUGACAAACCUCUAACAAGAUUGACAAAGGAAAAAAAGAAACAGAAGACCUAAACUAUCAAUUUCAUGAGUGCAAUGGAGGAUAUCCCUGCAGACUCCCAGACGUUAAAGAGAUAAUAAGGGACUACUAAGAACAAUUCUACACACAUCAAUUUGACAAUUUAGAUAAAAAGGACUAAAUCCUCAAAAAGUACAAACUGCCAAAACUCACCCAACAUGAAAUAGAUCAUAAAAACAGCUCUAUAACUAUAAAAGAAAUUGAAUCUGGGGGCACCUGGGUGGCUCAGUUGGUUGAGUGUCCAGCUUCAGCUCAGGUCAUGAUCUCACGGGUUUGAGUUCAAGCCCCGCGUCGGGCUCUGUGCUGACAGCUUGGAGCCUGUUUCGGAUUCUGUUUCUCCCUCUCUCUCUGCUCCUCCCCUGCUCGUGCUCUGUCUCUCUCUCUCUCAAAAA